GCUCCAUGGGUUCCACACACUGGUCUCUUGUGUGGUUGCACACUGGCUCCAGACAUCUGUCCUGCAUGGUUCCUGGCUAAAGCUAUCGGUUGGAGACAGACAGGUUUCAGGACCAGGCCUGGUGUGCUGCCUGUGUGUAUGACCAGGAUAUAGCUGCAUCUCGGUUCCUGCUUGGAGAUUCCCAACCACUCCCUCACUACUGGCUGGAUUUCCUGGGCCGUGUGUUGGAGCAGAUGCAAACUACUUACACAAGAGGGCACAGACCUGGCUGGAUCUGGAUUCAGUGGGAGCAGGCCCACAGGGAGCAAAGCACUAGAUGCUGCCAGUGGCUCUCAGUGAGGAGCACUUCAUGCAAGUCCCACCUGUGUCCCUGUUCAAUGUCAUGAUCUAGGAAUGCAGCUAUUGCUCAGGCAGUUGCCAGCUGGCCACAGCAACUACAGAAAAGAACAAAACACCUGGUCUGAUCCUCAUGGAGAGGAGUGGGGACCUCUGUGGGGACUUCCAGGAGAGCUGUACCCUGAGUCACAACCAGCCCUGUGGCAGACAUCAAAUGCUGUUGUUCCCUAGCAGUCUGCUGAUGUUAUCAGUGUUUCUUUGAGGAGUGAGAAA